AACGAACGCUGGCGGCGCGCCUAAUACAUGCAAGUCGAACGAGAAGCUGUAGCAAUACAGUUGUACAGUGGCGAACGGGUGAGGAAUACAUGGGUGACCUACCCUCGAGUGGGGAAUAACCAGCCGAAAGGUUGGCUAAUACCGCGUACGCUUCCCAGUCUACGGGUUGGGAAGGAAAGCGAUGCCGUGGGUAUCGCGCUCAAGGUUGGGCUCAUGUCCUAUCAGCUUGNGGUGGGGUAACGGCUCACCAAGGCAACGACGGGUAGCUGGUCUGAGAGGACGAUCAGCCACACUGGCACUGCGACACGGGCCAGACUCCUACGGGAGGCAGCAGUAAGGAAUAUUGCGCAAUGGGCGAAAGCCUGACGCAGCGAC
rnacentral:rRNA from 1 species